GCGUGAGUGAUGAAGGCCUUAGGGUUGUAAAGCUCUUUUACCCGGGAUGAUAAUGACAGUACCGGGAGAAUAAGCCCCGGCUAACUCCGUGCCAGCAGCCGCGGUAAUACGGAGGGGGCUAGCGUUGUUCGGAAUUACUGGGCGUAAAGCGCGCGUAGGCGGCCUUGUAAGUCAGAGGUGAAAUCCCGGAGCUCAACUCCGGAACUGCCUUUGAAACUGCAUCGCUUGAAUCCGGGAGAGGUGAGUGGAAUUCCGAGUGUAGAGGUGAAAUUCGU
rnacentral:rRNA from 1 species